CCUACGGGAGGCAUCAGUAGGGAAUCUUUCACAAUGGGCGAAAGCCUGAUGGAGCAACGCCGCGUGCAGGAUGAAGGCCUUCGGGUUGUAAACUUCUUUUAUAAGCGAAAAAUAGUAUGUUACCUAAUGAAUAGGGAUUGGACAGAACCGCGCCAGCAGCCGCGGUCUAACGUAGGAGCUGAGCAUUAUCCGGAGUGACGGGGUGUAAAGAGUGGAGGAAGUGGGAUAAUAAGUAGCUAGUGAAAUCUGGUGGCUUAACCAUUCAGACUAUUAGCGAAACUGUUAAGCUCGAGAACGUGAGGGGUAAGUGGAAUUGCUAGUGUAGGAGUGAAAUCCGUAGAUAUUAGAAGGAACACCAAUAGCGAAGGCAGGUUGCUGGGACGGUUCUGACACUAAGGCACGAAAGCGUAGGGAGCAAACGGGAUUAGAUACCCUUGUAGUC
rnacentral:rRNA from 1 species